GUCUCCGGCCACACCACUCUGAACGCGCCCGAUCUCGUCUGAUCUCGGAAGCUAAGCAGGGUCGGGCCUGGUUAGUACUUGGAUGGGAGACCACCUGGGAAUAACCGGGUGCUGUAGGCU
rnacentral:rRNA from 1 species